AUUGAACGCUGGCGGCAUGCCUUACACAUGCAAGUCGAACGGUAACAGGUUAAGCUGACGAGUGGCGAACGGGUGAGUAAUGUAUCGGAACGUGCCCAGUCGUGGGGGAUAACUACUCGAAAGAGUGGCUAAUACCGCAUACGACCUGAGGGUGAAAGCGGGGGACCGUAAGGCCUCGCGCGAUUGGAGCGGCCGAUAUCAGAUUAGCUAGUUGGUGGGGUAAAAGCCCACCAAGGCGACGAUCUGUAGCUGGUCUGAGAGGACGGCCAGCCACACUGGGACUGAGACACGGCCCAGACCCCUACGGGAGGCAGCAGUGGGGAAUUUUGGACAAUGGACGCAAGUCUGAUCCAGCCAUGCCGCGUGCGGGAAGAAGGCCUUCGGGUUGUAAACCGCUUUUGUCAGAGAAGAAACGAGUUUCUCUAAUACAGAGACUUAAUGACGGUACCUGAAGAAUAAGCACCGGCUAACUACGUGCCAGCAGCCGCCGUAAAAC
rnacentral:rRNA from 1 species